rnacentral:rRNA from 1 species
UAGGGAAUCUUCCGCAAUGGGCGAAAGCCUGACGGAGCAACGCCGCGUGAGUGAUGAAGGUCUUCGGAUCGUAAAACUCUGUUAUUAGGGAAGAACAAAUGUGUAAGUAACUAUGCACGUCUUGACGGUACCUAAUCAGAAAGCCACGGCUAACUACGUGCCAGCAGCCGCGGUAAUACGUAGGUGGCAAGCGUUAUCCGGAAUUAUUGGGCGUAAAGCGCGCGUAGGCGGUUUUUUAAGUCUGAUGUGUAAGCCCACGGCUCAACCGUGGAGGGUCAUUGGAAACUGGAAAACUUGAGUGCAGAAGAGGAAAGUGGAAUUCCAUGUGUAGCGGUGAAAUGCGCAGAGAUAUGGAGGAACACCAGUGGCGAAGGCGACUUUCUGGUCUGUAACUGACGCUGAUGUGCGAAAGCGUGGGGAUCAAACAGG